UACGUAGGGGGCAAGCGUUGUCCGGAUUCAUUGGGCGUAAAGAGCGUGUAGGCGGCCAGGUAGGUCGGUUGUGAAAACUGGAGGCUCAACCUUCAGAGGUCGACCGAAACCGUCUGGCUAGAGUCCGGGAGAGGAGAGUGGAAUUCCCCAAGUAGAGGUGAAAUUCGUAGAUAUGGGGAGGAACACCGGUGGCGAAGGCGGCCACCUGGACGGUAACUGACGCUGAGACGCGAAAGCGUGGGGAGCAAACAGG
rnacentral:rRNA from 1 species